UUUUUUUUUUUUCCUUUCUUUUUAGGGCACCCAUGGCAUAUGGAAGUGGCCGGGUUAGGAGUUGAAUUAGAGCUGUAGCUGCCAGCUUACACCACAGCCACAGCAACGUCAGAUCUGAGCUGCAUCUGCGACCCACGCUACAGCUUGUGGAAAUGCCUGAUUCUUAACCCACUGAUCAAGGCCAGGGAUCCAACCAGCAUCCUCAUGGAUGCUAUGUCAGGUUCUUAACCUACUGAGCCAUAACGGGAACUCCCCGAUUUCUGUUCUUUAUAUUUUCAAAAGAUCAUAAACUUCAAAUAGAUGCACAUGUUAUAUUUAAUCUCAGACUAAAGAAAUGUUGGUUCCUAAAUAUACUAUUUUGUUCAGAAAUUAAAAAUGAGGGAAAGAAAUUAGAACUUAAAAAGCCAGGCUUUGCAGUGCAUUGAAAGGGUGUUAAAAAGAUGAAAAGUGCCUUAGUCUUCAAACGAUCUUAUUCCAACCAAGUCUUCCCCCAGCAGAUAAGGUCUGGCUCACUCUUAGUGUAAGGGGCACCUGUUGGGAGAUCCAAGGUCUUCUCUGUGACAGGGAGUCAGUCCCCAGCCGUAUUUUUUCCAGGCAUUUCUUUUUCUCCAUCAACCUUAUAAUUCAUUUAUGCAGUUAAUAAAAAGGUAUUAAGCCAGGUGUGUUCUGGAGGUAUAGCAAUGAGUAAGAACAGUCUUAACCCUGCCCCUCGGAGUGUACGUGAGAUAUGCAAUUGCUUGGGGACAUUUGGCCAUUGCUCUGAAAGAAGGAUCCAAGAAAGAUGUUUGGACACUCUCUCUGCUCAUACAGCUCAUUUGAAAUUUGAGGACCGUUUAUAGAAUGGGUGCUGGCAACCCUGGCCGUUCCUAGAAUUUUGGCUUAAUCCGGCCACCAGGAACAUGCAGAGUAUAGUGGAUUAAGUUUGGUUCUGUUUAAUUUUCCUAAUCAUGGACACUGGUCUUGAAUGACUCCAAGCUCCCCUGGAACAAGAGUUGCCCCACUUUGAGCAUAAACAUUCUUCCAUCCUUGCCGACAACAAUCUCUGAGUGCCAUCCACUCAUAACACACAGACAGCCGAGGUAACAAACUGGAUAGAAAAUGAGAAAAAUACCAGGCUGUUUGCAUUGGGACAUGGUAACCGCGAAAUGAGCAAACAUUUAAUUUUGUUUAUUGAGGUCAAGGUGAAAGCUGUUGAAUCUCUCACAACAACUUAGGGCAUUUGAUGCAGGCUGAGCGUGUUGUUCUGAAAUGUCAGAAUGUUCCAUUCUGAUAAGCAGUCAACCGGUAUUGAGUUCUCCCUUUGUGCAGAGCUCUGUGAAGUGCGACCGAAAUGCAUAAGGGGAACGAAAGAGGAUACAAUGAAAACUGGAAGCCGUGAGUCAGUCAACAGUGAAAACAAUCUGAAAAGGCUUUCUGGUUUUGGUUGAUUUCAGACUGAAUUCCUGAUGAAGGGGGAGAGGCCCACCCAGACUUUCCACGCGUGCCUUAUUUUUAGGGGUCUCUCCUUAAUGCACGGGGGCUGAUUGGGCAGUAAUUUUUGCCUACGGAGUAAGUAAGGAAAUCUCAGAACACAGCAGCCUGAAUUUAUAGGGAAACUGUGUGCUGUCUUGGACCCAGGCAGGUGUUUGCUAACGUUUGAGGAUGGGAAGUCUUUGGACAGGGCCUGGAAGAAGGGCAAGUCAGCACUCCCAAGCCUCGCCUCUCCCUUUUUUUUUUCCACUUCCCUCUGGUGAGGGUAUGUUCAAGAUAAAAUAUCGAGAGGUCAUAAUUAUCAAGAGGAUAAACGAACAGGCUUUGGACUUCUGAGGCUUAAAUCAUGGCUCCACUAUUUUUAUAAUAAUUAUUAUUCAUAUUAUUAUUAUUUUAGGGCUGCAUCUGUAGCCUAUGGAAGUUCCUAGGCUAGGGGUUGAAUUGGAGCUGCAGCUGCCAGCCCACUCCACAGCCACACAGAAUCUGAGCUGCACCCGCGAGCUACACCACAGCUCACAGCAAUGUCAGAUCCUUAAGCCACUGAGCGAUGGCUCCACUAUUAUUAACUCUGUGACUUUGGGCAGGUCAAGCUCUGUGGGCCUCAGUGUCCACAUCUGUAAAAUGGGUCUAUUGUGAGGAUUAAAUGAGAUAACAAAUACAUAAUUGCUUAGCAUCGGACCCAGUCCUGAAAUGGUUAAUAAGCAUUAAGUUAUUAUUAUUAUUGAUAAUUACAUCAGCUCUAUGGGGGAAAAAAAUCAAAGUUUUCUUUUCUCUUUUUCUUUUUAUGGCCACACCUGCAGCAUAUGGCAGUUCCUGGGCCAGAGGUCGAAACAGACCUGCAGCCAUAGCCACAGCAAUGCCAGAUUUGUGCUGCAUUUAUGACAUAACACUGCAGCUUGUGGCAACACCAGAUCCUUAACCCAUUGAGCAAGGCCAGGGAUCGAGCACACACCCUUACAGUGAUGACAUUGGAAACUUAACCUCCUGAGGCACAAAGGGAACUCCAAAAAAAAAAAAAAGUGUUAGGUGGGACUCUUUAGUUUGCUAGUUCCAAAAAUUCCCCAAUCUAACAUAAGCAAAAAAGUCAUAUGUAUUCUAACAAGUUAAACAUGGGAAAACCAAGUACUCAC
ensembl:lncRNA